rnacentral:rRNA from 1 species
UACGGGGGAUGCAAGCGUUAUCCGGAAUUAUUGGGCGUAAAGCGCCUGUAGGUUGUUUAAUAAGUCUGUUGUUAAAGAUUAGGGCUUAACCCUAGAAAAGCAAUGGAAACUACUAGACUAGAGUAUGGUAGGGGUAGAGGGAAUUUCUAGUGUAGCGGUGAAAUGCGUAGAUAUUAGAAAGAACACCAGUGGCGAAAGCGCUCUACUGGACCAUUACUGACACUCAGAGGCGAAAGCUAGGGUAGCAAAAGGGAUUAGAUACCCCUGUAGUCCUAGCCGUAAACGAUGGAUACUAGAUGUUGUGACUCCGUUACAGUAUCGUAGCUAACGCGUUAAGUAUCCCGCCUGGGGAGUACGCUCGCAAGAGUG